AUUGAACGCUGGCGGCAGGCCUAACACAUGCAAGUCGAACGGUAACAGGAAGAAGCUUGCUUCUUUGCUGACGAGUGGCGGACGGGUGAGUAAUGUCUGGGAAACUGCCUGAUGGAGGGGGAUAACUACUGGAAACGGUAGCUAAUACCGCAUAACGUCGCAAGACCAAAAAGGGGGACCUUCGGGCCUCUUGCCAUCGGAUGUGCCCAGAUGGGAUUAGCUAGUAGGUGGGGUAACGGCUCACCUAGGCGACGAUCCCUAGCUGGUCUGAGAGGAUGACCAGCCACACUGGAACUGAGACACGGGCCAGACUCCUACGGGAGGCAGCAGUGGGGAAUAUUGCACAAUGGGCGCAAGCCUGAUGCAGCCAUGCCGCGUGUAUGAAGAAGGCCUUCGGGUUGUAAAGUACUUUCAGCGGGGAGGAAGGGAGUAAAGUUAAUACCUUUGCUCAUUGACGUUACCCGCAGAAGAAGCACCGGCUAACUCCGU
rnacentral:rRNA from 1 species